GACGAACGCUGGCGGCGUGCCUAAUACAUGCAAGUAGAACGCUGAAGGAGGAGCUUGCUCUUCUGGAUGAGUUGCGAACGGGUGAGUAACGCGUAGGUAACCUGCCUGGUAGCGGGGGAUAACUAUUGGAAACGAUAGCUAAUACCGCAUAACAGUAGAUGUUGCAUGACAUUUACUUAAAAGGUGCACUUGCAUCACUACCAGAUGGCCCUGCGUUGUAUUAGCUAGUUGGUGGGGUAGCGGCCCACCAAGGCAAGGAAACAUAGCGGCCCUGGGGGGGGAACGGCCCACAUGGGAAUGAGACAAGGCCCAGACUCCUAAGGGGAGGAGCAGUUGGGAAUUUUUGGAAAUGGACGGAAGGCUGGACGAACAAAGCCGGGUGAGUGAAGAAGGUUUUCGGAUCGUAAAGCUCUUUUGUAAGAGAAGGAAGAGGGUGAGAGUGGAAAGUUCACACUGUGACGGUAUCUUACCAGAAAGCGACGGCUAACUACGUG
rnacentral:rRNA from 1 species